CGGUACCUGCAGAAUAAGCCCCGGCUAACUUCGUGCCAGCAGCCGCGGUAAUACGAAGGGGGCUAGCGUUGCUCGGAAUGACUGGGCGUAAAGGGCGCGUAGGCGGCGAUCAAAGUCAGGCGUGAAAUUCCUGGGCUCAACCUGGGGGCUGCGCUUGAUACUUGGUUGCUUGAGUGGGGAAGAGGGUCGUGGAAUUCCCAGUGUAGAGGUGAAAUUCGUAGAUAUUGGGAAGAACACCGGUGGCGAAGGCGGCGACCUGGUCCUUGACUGACGCUGAGGCGCGAAAGCGUGGGGAGCAAACAGGAUUAGAUACCCUGGUAGUCCACGCCGUAAACGAUGUCGAUUUGGAGGUUGUGCCCUUGAGGCGUGGCUUCCGGAGCUAACGCGUUAAAUCGACCGCCUGGGGAGUACGGCCGCAAGGUUAAAACUCAAAUGAAUUGACGGGGGCCCGCACAAGCGGUGGAGCAUGUGGUUUAAUUCGAUGCAACGCGAAGAACCUUACCUACUCUUGACAUCCACGGAACUUGCCAGAGAUGGCUUAGUGCCUUCGGGAACCGUGAGACAGGUGCUGCAUGGCUGUCGUCAGCUCGUGUUGUGAAAUGUUGGGUUAAGUCCCGCAACGAGCGCAACCCUUAUCCUUUGUUGCCAGCACGUAAUGGUGGGAACUCAAAGGAGACUGCCGGUGAUAAACCGGAGGAAGGUGGGGAUGACGUCAAGUCAUCAUGGCCCUUACGAGUAGGGCUACACACGUGCUACAAUGGCGUAUACAAAGAGAAGCGACCUCGCGAGAGUCAGCGGACCUCAUAAAGUACGUCGUAGUCCGGAUUGGAGUCUGCAACUCGACUCCAUGAAGUCGGAAUCGCUAGUAAUCGUAGAUCAGAAUGCUACGGUGAAUACGUUCCCGGGCCUUGUACACACCGCCCAAGGGCGAAUCGUAAGCUGCAGGUC
rnacentral:rRNA from 1 species